rnacentral:tmRNA from 1 species
GGGGGCGAACUGGGCUCGACGGAAGCGCUGAGGCUGAGAGAGCAAGCCGGGAUCCCACCCAACCCGUUAAACGGUGGACCAAAACUUAACUGCAAACGAUUACGCACUCGCUGCUUAAGAUUAAGUAGCCGUUUCCCUCGCCUUCUCCCGCGAGUCGGGGAGAAACGCCACAAUGCGGGAUAGGAUCUUUUGCCAGCCUACGGUGGGAGAUCCGAAACAAAGAAAGGCAACCUCCCGUGCCUGGGUACCCUGGGGCCGGGUUGUAUAAACAGGGGACUGAGCUUGGAGAACUCGUAAGUUUAGGCCUUUCGGACGCGGGUUCGAUUCCCGCCGCCUCCACCA